UCAUACGGAGGAUCCAAGCGUUAUCCGGAAUUACUGGGCGUAAAGAGUUGCGUAGGUGGCAGAGUAAGCGAAGUGUGAAAUCUCACGGCUCAACCGUGAGGCUAUGCUUUGAACUGCUCAGCUAGAGAGCGAGAGAGGUAGAUGGAAUUUCUAGUGUAGGAGUGAAAUCCGUAGAUAUUAGAAGGAACACCGAUGGCGUAGGCAGUCUACUGGCUCGUUUCUGACACUAAGGCACGAAAGCGUGGGGAGCAAAUGGGAUUAGAUACCCCAGUAGUCCACGCUGUAAACUAUGCUUGCUAGCUGUUAUGAGUAUCGACCCUCGUAGUAGCGAAGCUAACGCGUUAAGCAAGCCGCCUGGGGAGUACGGUCGCAAGAUUA
rnacentral:rRNA from 1 species